rnacentral:lncRNA from 1 species
CUCUGUUUUACUCUUACACAUGUUCCACAGUUUCUUUUCUCAUAUAUGCUUUAUGUAUAGUGCAGUUCUUUACCCUUGCUAUUGUAGGGAAUUCAAACUGAGCCCGAUACCAGAACAUACAGAAGAAUCCUUGACUACUAGUGAGAGUGAUAUAAGAAGUGAUGAAAAAAAGAGAGAACACCAUACAAGGGAAAAGCAAUAAAAGGCGCAUUUUAUCAUGCUUCAGGUAAGAUAUUUGUGCAUUGACAACAAAAUUCUACUGGGCAAAACCGUUUUCUCCCUACUUGAUUUUGACUGUUUGGUACCUGUAUAAUCAUGUCAAUUUUGCUUUUUGUUGUAGAGUCCUCUUAAUCAUAGAAAAUUAUUCUUAGGUAUCGAUGUUGUUCUCAUAUAAGCCACUAAAUAGCGUAAAAUCUAUUGGAUG